UGCAGAUCGCUUCGUUCGGUUUCUUGCUACCACUAAAUCUGCUGUCCCUGUGGAAAUGGAAUCAGCUGAGAAGGCUUUAACUAUAUAAGCACACCUAUAUUAUUGAUGCAAAAGGAGUAAUGGAAAUUCAAACAAGAAGAUAAAACGACAGAUGGCAGAUCGAUGGCUAACUGAAGACACAGCACUAUGCAUAGAGAAGCCCAGAAAGCAGCUGCAGGGAGGAGGAUGUGGACGAGAAGCAGAAACACCAUGGUGCAAGGAAGAAGAGCAGAGAAGCAGAGACCGCCAAGGAUCCCAGCUCCAGUUUGCAUGGAAUUCUGCUGUGCUCGGGGAAGCAUGAAUUUGCACAUCCAUGUGGUGGCCUGAAUGCGGUGUCCUAGCUGAAGCACUGUGACAUUCCUGUCCGUCUGAAGCAGCUUUCUCUGUAAUGGGAAUUAGCUCCAUAAAACUUUCAUGGGACACCCAGUGGGAGCGAGGUGAGAGGGCUGGGGAACUGGAUUAGGGCACCCCUUCAUCAUGUGGAGCGCUCAAUGACCCCAAGGGCAUUUAUUAAUUUUUCUGCUGUCUGGAGAGAAAUAUCUAUCUGUAAAGAGUGGUGAACCUUAUCUGGCAAUUGCACCCUGCCUGGCAGCCUAGGGAGCUGCCCUCACCUAUUUGUAGAGAUGGUCUACCACGUGCAAGGGGAGUCCAUUAUUAUCAUUCAUGGCCUCAUUCAAAGUCCACAAAGUGCCUAGG